GAUGAACGCUGGCGGCGUGCCUAAUACAUGCAAGUCGAGCGAACAGAUGAGGAGCUUGCUCCUCUGACGUUAGCGGCGACGGGUGAGUAACACGUGGAUAACCUACCUAUAAGACUGGGAUAACUUCGGGAAACCGGAGCUAAUACCGGAUAAUAUAUUGAACCGCAUGGUUCAAUAGUGAAAGACGGUUUUGCUGUCACUUAUAGAUGGAUCCGCGCCGCAUUAGCUAGUUGGUAAGGUAACGGCUUACCAAGGCAACGAUGCGUAGCCGACCUGAGAGGGUGAUCGGCCACACUGGAACUGAGACACGGUCCAGACUCCUACGGGAGGCAGCAGUAGGGAAUCUUCCGCAAUGGGCGAAAGCCUGACGGAGCAACGCCGCGUGAGUGAUGAAGGUCUUCGGAUCGUAAAACUCUGUUAUUAGGGAAGAACAAAUGUGUAAGUAACUAUGCACGUCUUGACGGUACCUAAUCAGAAAGCCACGGCUAACUACGUG
rnacentral:rRNA from 1 species